UACGGAGGGUGCAAGCGUUAUCCGGAAUCACUGGGUUUAAAGGGUGCGUAGGCGGCAUGAUAAGUCAGGGGUGAAAGCUUGCGGCUCAACCGUAAAAUUGCCUUUGAUACUGUUGUGCUUGAAUCAGGUUGAGGUAGGCAGAAUGUGGCAUGUAGCGGUGAAAUGCAUAGAUAUGCCAUAGAAUACCGAUUGCGAAGGCAGCCUGCUGGACCUGUAUUGACGCUGAGGCACGAAAGCGUGGGGAUCAAACAGG
rnacentral:rRNA from 1 species